rnacentral:pre_miRNA from 1 species
UCUUCAUUGUUCACACUAUCUCACCGGUCAAGGAUGCGAGAGAGUGUGCAAAAGGAAGAGA